CAGAUCAGUGAGGGGGACGGGAUUUGUCACAGGGACCACGUUCUGUGUUCAGCCAGUCGUCCUGAUACCUAGCUAAUACGUAUACAUUCACCGUUUACGUUCAUUCCAAAGACUUGUAUCUUUCCUCGGGGUGAACAGUUGUGAAAACUUUAAGAUGUGUCUUGUUAGAGGACAACUGUCCAUGUAUAUGUCAAUCUUCCUGACAAUUCUGACAGCUGGACUGCCAGUAUGUUCCGUAGAUAGUGAAGUAAGUAUCUCCGACGCCUGUCACGGAUCAUCACUUUUCAGUCAAACACACAACAAAUUAGAGUGUGACGAGGGGACUCAGAUCUGUAUAUUAGAGGUCAAGUUUUACCAGUGGAAUCCAAACGACCAACUUUGUCCUCAUGAGAUAUCAGCCCCUGUGCCUGACCGAUGUUGCCGUGGUAACACAAGCCGAUGUAGCUGGGUUAGAAAUACAAACGAUGACCGCCAUAAGUUACAGGAAAAUUGUACUGGCCAAAGGCAGUGUGAUCUUCAUUCCUCCAGUUCGAAACUAGUAGCUGACCCGUGUGUACAUCCCGGUGACAUAUCCACAGUCAGCAGCGUGAGAUCGAUCACAUACACAUGCACUUCUU